UUAUAAGAGACAGCAGCCGCCGCGGUAAUACGUAGGUGGCAAGCGUUGUCCGGAAUUAUUGGGCGUAAAGCGCGCGCAGGUGGUUUAAUAAGUCUGAUGCGAAAGCCCACGGCUCAACCGUGGAGGGUCAUUGGAAACUGUUUAACUUGAGUGCAAGAGGGGAGAGUGGAAUUCCAUGUGUAGCGGUGAAAUGCGUAGAUAUAUGGAGGAACACCGGUGGCGAAAGCGGCUCUCUGGCUUGUAACUGACGCUGAGGCUCGAAAGCGUGGGGCGCAAACAGGAUUAGAUACCCCAGUAGUCCCUGUCUCUUAUAC
rnacentral:rRNA from 1 species